rnacentral:lncRNA from 1 species
AUAUGUUGUUGAGUUGGUUUACCUUCUAACUGGACUUCCAAGCCUACCUUUCCCAUCGCUGUGAUUUGGGUUCAAAAUAUGUGAGUGUACUUUUCUCUUCUUUCUAUACGAAAAAUCGCCAUCUCGUAGUUCUCUCAAUUUGUUAUUUUUCCGAGCCCCCAUGUCGUGACUUCGACUUUGAGUAUGAUGAAUGAGUGGAAAUCAUCACCGGUGAACCUUUCGUAAGAGUGUUGCAACGGCCUUUUAUCCCUUAAAUGACGGGGGGAUAGUUUUUGUUU